rnacentral:rRNA from 1 species
UGGGGUGACUUGUUUGGUUAAAUUUGAAAGUGACCUAGAUUCCAUCCGUUUUUUUGUAUAUCAUAAGAACUCUUGUGAUCAAUAUCAAAAUGGACCAUAACUCAAGCAGAAGGAAGUACGGUCUAAAUCAGGUCUGUGAUGCCAUCGAUACUUUGGGCGGCACGCGCGCUACAAUGAACAGCGUAAAGUGUCUUUUUGUUGAAAAACAGGGUGGAUCACGGUCACUGCGUCUUGAUAUGGGUAGUGUUGAAUAAUUAGUAAGCGCGAGUCAUCAUCCGUGUAGGUGCAGUACAGAACCUUGGUCCGAAUACGUCCUCGCCGUUUGUACACGACUAAUCUGGUGUAUUAUUCGGGGUUAUCCAGGUGUCAGCUUCGGACAGUUUCGUUGGAAUUCGUUCGAACCUUGGGUAUUGGAGGAAGAAAAAGUCGUAACAAGGUUAUCGUAG